UCGGUAUCGAUGACAAGAUGUUAUCAGAAAUGGAAGUUCAAAAUAUUUUUAACCAUGAAAUUUUCGUAAAUAAAUCAAACCGUUGAGGGUUUUAUUUCGACUCAUCGUCCACGAAUCCGUCGAAAGAAACCUUCACACCGAACACCGACACGUAAACAUGUUCACCGUGCUACGUGUCAACGAAGCUCGCGUCAUGGAUCGAAAGUGUUAAAAGAAACAAGAAAAUCUUGAGAGAGCUGUGGGAGAAUAAAGAGAGAUGGAGGCAACGAAAGAGAAGAUGGAGAAGGAACAGAACAAGAGGAGAGACGAAUCUGCCGUCAAGAAUCAUGCAGGAAAGGCCGAAGACACGGUCAGAGCGAUCGUUCGCGAAUCCAUAGUUGAAGGCGGAAGCGACGGUAACAGAGACGGAGGUGAUAGCGCUCGCAAGCCGGAAGACAUUCUUGCUUUCUCAAGAACCGUACGGAAGAUCGAUUCCUCGCUUGAGUAGUUUUAUAUACUCUGUUAUUUGUACUUUUUGCUUCGAUAUGUUAUUUUCUUCUUUUACUAUCAAUCAACUAGCAAAAUAAAUAAAGAUUAAACAACUUCGUUCUACACUUGAUUGAUACACAGAAGUUAAAACUUGUCUUAAUAUUGGUUGAACUAUGAGUAACCUUUCUUGGGUACCUUAUUAAGGUUCUGAUUGGAUUAUUAGACCACCUCCAUCAGUGGUUCUUAAGGAGAGGUUUUAAAGAAAAGAGAAAAAAAAAAAUGAAAAAGGUAAGAAAAACAAAGAACCGGUGCUUAAGGAACGCUUACGUGUCAUUGAUUCAUUGCACAACCCGUCUCUCUCUCCUUCUUCGCUCUCAUUCGAUCUUCUCUCCCGAUGAUGGCGGAGACGAGCUUUUCGUUCAUCAGCCCUUCUGUCUUUAUAAUUCUAUCGCUCUUCGUAAGUAAUCAAGGGUUUUGGGAACAUCGAAUCGAGCAUCUGUUUGCUUAAUUGUGGCCCUACUGGCUCCGAGGCCUUGAAGAAUCUCGUCCUCGGUGGAGUUGGGAGCAUCACCGUCGUUGAUGGAUCCAAAGUCGAGCUUGGAGACCUUGGAAACAAUUUCAUGGUGGAUGAAGCGAGUGUUGGUCAAUCAAAGGCCAAGUCUGCUUGUGCGUUUCUUCAAGAGCUUAAUGAUUCUGUUAAAGCUAAGUUGAGCCGGUUGAGUACGCGAUCGCGAUUGGAAACGACGGUAAGACCAAGGCCGUCGAUGUCAUUGCUCCUGGCGGUGGAGGCGGAGUCGAGUGUUACAAUUGCAGAGAGGUUGGUCAUAUGGCGAAGGAUUGUCGUGGUGGUUCCGGUGGGAACAGAUACGGUGGCCGUGGAUAUGGCGGUGAGGGAUGCUACACGUGUGGUGAUGUAGGUCAUUUCACAAGGGAUUGCAGGGCAAACGGCGGCGGAUACAUCGGAGGUGGAGGUGGCGGUGGAAACACUUGCUAUACAUGUGGCGGAGUUGGACACAUGGCUAGAGUUUGCACAAGCAAGAGACAGUCUGGUGGUGGUAUUGGUGGUGCUUGUUAUGAAUGUGGAGGCAUUGGUCAUUUGGCACGUGACUGUGAUCGUAGAGGAAGAGGAGGCGGUGGCGGCGGUGGUUGCAAGUGUUUCACAUGCGGCGAGGAAGGUCACUUUGCGAGGAACUGCUCUUCGCUUGCUUAACAAAGAAAAAGCAGAGUGAUGUUCAUAAAAUUCUUCGCUUUCUAUUGGUUUUCUGAUGUGAUAUCUAGAGUUGUUUCUGUUGAUGUUUUGGAAUGUUUAUUGGGAGUUUAUGAUCUCUAUAUUGCUCGUAUAUGACAGGUUCUUGCAUACCUAUUGACUGUUUUUGUUGAUGCAAUAACCCAUAUGUGUGUGAACUUGAAUGAUAGUGUGUGAUUGCAUAAGUUUAAGUUU